GAUGAACGCUGGCGGCGUGCUUAACACAUGCAAGUCGAACGAACCUUCGGGUUAGUGGCGGACGGGUGAGUAACGCGUGAGAAUCCGCCCUCAGGAGGGGGACAACAGUUGGAAACGACUGCUAAUACCCCAUAUGCCGCGAGGUGAAAUGAAUUUCGCCUGAGGAUGAGCUCGCGUCUGAUUAGCUAGUUGGUGUAGGUAAUGGCUCACCAAGGCAUCGAUCAGUAGCUGGUCUGAGAGGAUGAUCAGCCACACUGGGACUGAGACACGGCCCAGACUCCUACGGGAGGCAGCAGUGGGGAAUUUUCCGCAAUGGGCGAAAGCCUGACGGAGCAACGCCGCGUGAGGGAUGAAGGCCUCUGGGCUGUAAACCUCUUUUAUCAAGGAAGAAGAUCUGACGGUACUUGAUGAAUAAGCCACGGCUAAUUCCGUGCCAA
rnacentral:rRNA from 1 species